rnacentral:tRNA from 1 species
AAGACUUUAAGUUAAACAAACUAAUAUCCUUCAAAGUUAUAAAUAAAGUAAUUAUCUUUAAGUCUUA